UACGUAGGGUGCAAGCGUUGUCCGGAAUUAUUGGGCGUAAAGAGCUCGUAGGCGGCUUGUCGCGUCGGCUGUGAAAACCCGGGGCUCAACCCCGGGCCUGCAGUCGAUACGGGCAGGCUAGAGUCCGGUAGGGGAGACUGGAAUUCCUGGUGUAGCGGUGAAAUGCGCAGAUAUCAGGAGGAACACCGAUGGCGAAGGCAGUUCUCUGGGCCGUAACUGACGCUGAGGAGCGAAAGCGUGGGGAGCGAACAGG
rnacentral:rRNA from 1 species